rnacentral:rRNA from 1 species
AAUUCUUAGGGGGGCAGCAUUGGGAAAUUUGCACAAUGGGGAAAACCCUAUGCAGCAACCCGGCUUGAGGGAUGAAGCCUUCGGGUUGUAAACUUUUUCAGCAGGGAAGAAGCGCAAGUGACGGUACCUGCAGAAGAAGCGCCGGCUAACUACGUGCCAGCAGCCGCGGUAAUACGUAGGGCGCAAGCGUUGUCCGGAAUUAUUGGGCGUUAAAGAGCUCGUAGGCGGUUUGUCGCGUCUGGUGUGAAAACUCGAGGCUCAACCUCGAGCUUGCAUCGGGUACGGGCAGACUAGAGUGCGGUAGGGGAGACUGGAAUUCCUGGUGUAGCGGUGGAAUGCGCAGAUAUCAGGAGGAACACCGAUGGCGAAGGCAGGUCUCUGGGCCGCAACUGACGCUGAGGAGCGAAAGCAUGGGGAGCGAACAGGAUUAGAUACCCUGGUAGUCCAUGCCGUAAACGUUGGGCACUAGGUGUGGGGCUCAUUCCACGAGUUCCGUGCCGCAGCAAACGCAUUAAGUGCCCCGCCUGGGGAGUACGGCCGCAAGGCUAAAACUCAAAGGAAUUGACGGGGGCCCGCACAAGCGGCGGAGCAUGCGGAUUAAUUCGAUGCAACGCGAAGAACCUUACCAAGGCUUGACAUGCACGAGAAGCCACCAGAGAUGGUGGUCUCUUUGGACACUCGUGCACAGGUGGUGCAUGGUUGUCGUCAGCUCGUGUCGUGAGAUGUUGGGUUAAGUCCCGCAACGAGCGCAACCCUCGUCCCAUGUUGCCAGCGGGUUAUGCCGGGGACUCAUGGGAGACUGCCGGGGUCAACUCGGAGGAAGGUGGGGAUGACGUCAAAUCAUCAUGCCCCUUAUGUCUUGGGCUUCACGCAUGCUACAAUGGCCGGUACAAAGGGCUGCGAUACCGUAAGGUGGAGCGAAUCCCAAAAAGCCGGUCUCAGUUCGGAUUGGGGUCUGCAACUCGACCCCAUGAAGUCGGAGUCGCUAGUAAUCGCAGAUCAGCAACGCUGCGGUGAAUACGUUCCCGGGCCUUGUACACACCGCCCGUCAAGUCACGAAAGUCGGUAACACCCGAAGCCCAUGGCCCAACCGUUCGCGGGGGGAGUGUCGA